rnacentral:rRNA from 1 species
AUAAUGCAGUCGAGCGGACAGAUGGGAGCUUGCUCCCUGAUGUUAGCGGCGGACGGGUGAGUAACACGUGGGUAACCUGCCUGUAAGACUGGGAUAACUCCGGGAAACCGGGGCUAAUACCGGAUGGUUGUUUGAACCGCAUGGUUCAAACAUAAAAGGUGGCUUCGGCUACCACUUACAGAUGGACCCGCGGCGCAUUAGCUAGUUGGUGAGGUAACGGCUCACCAAGGCAACGAUGCGUAGCCGACCUGAGAGGGUGAUCGGCCACACUGGGACUGAGACACGGCCCAGACUCCUACGGGAGGCAGCAGUAGGGAAUCUUCCGCAAUGGACGAAAGUCUGACGGAGCAACGCCGCGUGAGUGAUGAAGGUUUUCGGAUCGUAAAGCUCUGUUGUUAGGGAAGAACAAGUACCGUUCGAAUAGGGCGGUACCUUGACGGUACCUAACCAGAAAGCCACGGCUAACUACGUGCCAGCAGCCGCGGUAAUACGUAGGUGGCAAGCGUUGUCCGGAAUUAUUGGGCGUAAAGGGCUCGCAGGCGGUUUCUUAAGUCUGAUGUGAAAGCCCCCGGCUCAACCGGGGAGGGUCAUUGGAAACUGGGGAACUUGAGUGCAGAAGAGGAGAGUGGAAUUCCACGUGUAGCGGUGAAAUGCGUAGAGAUGUGGAGGAACACCAGUGGCGAAGGCGACUCUCUGGUCUGUAACUGACGCUGAGGAGCGAAAGCGUGGGGAGCGAACAGGAUUAGAUACCCUGGUAGUCCACGCCGUAAACGAUGAGUGCUAAGUGUUAGGGGGUUUCCGCCCCUUAGUGCUGCAGCUAACGCAUUAAGCACUCCGCCUGGGGAGUACGGUCGCAAGACUGAAACUCAAAGGAAUUGACGGGGG